rnacentral:lncRNA from 1 species
GCUGCGGAGCCAAGAUUUCGCUCGGGCCGCCCACUGCCCCCAGGGCUCGGCCUCUCCCCUGGCGCCCUCUGGCCCCGCCCGGAACUGGCCGCUAAACAGCGCGGGCCAAUCGCGGACGGGAAAAUGACGGAGGUGGGGAGAAUGCUAAUCACACCGCCUUGAGAACCCGGGCGGGAAUCCCGGGCCUGAAGUCCCACCGAUUCCACUGUACUCGCUCCCCUGCUAUCCCGUGAGAGCUGAGAAGCUCUGCUCCUCUCUGCGUCCUAACACUUAGAGGUCAGCGUGUGUGUACAAGAACUGCAGUGCCACCUGUCCACCUUCUACGCGCUUGCACUGGGUAAAGAAGAGACAAUACGUAACCCCUACUGUAUGCUCAACAGUAAUUAAUCGUCAUUAAUGCAAGACCCGAAACGCUUACAAUUCCGAGGCAAGUACGCAUUGCAGCCAUUCAACAAACAUCAAAUUUCUGAAUUGAAGAUACUUUUGCAAUAUUCAACAUAUUUCUACAGAGCCAAACUCAUGAAAUUCAACUUUGAGUUCAAGAUGAGGAAACCUAGGAAUAAAGAGAUUAAGUCACUUGCCCACGGGUGUAGUUCUUCUCGCUGUAACUCCAUUUGGACUGUAUUUGUAAGGUCUGUGCCAGCUACCCUGUUCUGUCCCACCCUUGACAAAGGUAAGUGUGAUGCUCAUUUCAUUCUUGCGGUGUACAGGGUAAUGAGCUGGGAUGGCUCAUCCAGAGAAAUCACAGAAUCAUCAGUGAGUGCUGGGAUGGGCCAUGGCGAUCACGUGGUUUCACCUCGUUUCACAGAUGAAGAAAUGGGUCAAAAAAAAGAUUUGGGAAGAAUUUAAGCUGAAUGAGGGAAAAUUCGCGUAAGUCCAAAUAAAUCUAGGGAAAAGCUAGGUAUAGCCCACACUGGGCAGCUGGGAUCUGAUUUGUUUUUUUCUCGCACUCAGAUACACAAGUUGGUGGCACAGUUUGUGGUUAGUGUUACUCAGUGUAACAUGGCAUGUUCAUGUGUGAACAUUACUAUUUGUACAAUUAUAGCAGUUGCUGUGUAGAAAGCUCA